rnacentral:tRNA from 1 species
GGAUUGUGGCUCAGUGGUAGAGUGCUUGCCUAUCAUGCAUGAGGCACUGGGUUCGACCCCUGGCACCA